UAGUCAUAUGCUUGUCUCAAAGAUUAAGCCAUGCAUGUCUAAGUAUAAACAACUUUAUACUGUGAAACUGCGAACGGCUCAUUAUAUCAGCAAUAAUUUAUUUGAUGGUUCCUUACUACAUGGAUAACUGUAGUAAUUCUAGAGCUAAUACAUGCGUAAAGUCCCAACUCUCGCGGGAAGGGAUGUAUUUAUUAGAUAAAAAACCAAUGCGGGCUCUGUCCGGAUUUGUGUUGAAUCAUAGUAACUUAUCGGAUGCCAUGGCUUUAUGCCGGGCACA
rnacentral:rRNA from 1 species